UUAAAAAGCUGGUAGUUGGAUUUCUGGGAGAGUGCCGCCGUCCGGCGUGUCCGUGUGCAGUGGCACCCUUCCAUCCUUCUGUUAGCGUCUCUUGGCAUUCAUUUGCUGGUGGCGGGCUCAGAUAUUUUACCUUGAGAAAAUUAGAGUGUUUCGGGCAGGCUAGGCCGGAAUACAUUAGCAUGGAAUAAUGGAAUAGGACUACGGUCUCUUUGUUGGUUUGAGGGACUGCAGUAAUGAUUAAUAGGGAUAGUUGGGGGCAUUAGUAUUUAAUUGUCAGAGGUGGAACUCUCAGAUUUGUUAAAGACUAACUUAUGCGAAAGCAUUUGCCAAGGAUGUUUUCAUUAAUCAGAACGAAAGUUAGGGGAUCAAGAC
rnacentral:rRNA from 1 species